rnacentral:tRNA from 1 species
GGCUUCAAAGCUCAGAUGGUUAGAGCGUCGCACCGGUAUCGCGAGGUCAAGGGUUCAAACGCCGUUGAAGUCC